CGUCCCCUUCAAGAAACGCAAUCAUCUUAGUCUGUUCCAGCCUGCAAGACCUUCCUCCCAGACCAUUUGUACAUCACGGCGCAGGUCACACGCGUCCCCUUCAAGAAACGCAAUCAUCUUAGUCUGUUCCAGCCUGCAAGACCUUCCUCCCAGACCAUUUGUACAUCACGGCGCAGGUCACACGCGUCCCCUUCAAGAAACGCAAUCAUCUUAGUCUGUUCCAGCCUGCAAGACCUUCCUCCCAGACCAUUUGUACAUCACGGCGCAGGUCACACGCGUCCCCUUCAAGAAACGCAAUCAUCUUAGUCUGUUCCAGCCUUCAAGACCUUCCUCCCAGACCAUUUGUACAUCACGGCGCAGGUCACACGCGUCCCCUUCAAGAAACGCAAUCAUCUUAGUCUGUUCCAGCCUUCAAGACCUUCCUCCCAGACCAUUUGUACAUCACGGCGCAGGUCACACGCGUCUCCUUCAAGAAACGCAAUCAUCUUAGUCUGUUCCAGUCUUCAAGACCUUCCUCCCAGACCAUUUGUACAUCACGGCGCAGGUCACACGCGUCCCCUUCAAGAAAACGCAAGCAUCUUAGUCUGUUCCAGCCUUCAAGACCUUCCUCCCAGACCAUUUGUACAUCACGGCGUCAACAUUGCAGAACGGAGCCUGGUGGGUGCCGUCCUAUUUCGAAGAGCAGUGCUUGGAGCAGACAUGAGACCAACACCCAUCGGGACGUCGGUUGAAAUCCCCCGCCAAUCACAAAAUAUGGCCAAGAAAGACCUUCUACUGCAUCAAGGAGAAAAGGCCAGGAUAACGAUUCAAGUACAGACACCAGAAAAGUGCCUACCCCUCCCCGCCAUCGAAAAUAAAAUGUAUAUCAUUAUGCAUUUGAACUUAUAACAGCAUUAACAGUCACACAGCAAACAUGAUGCUUGUUCUGACUGCUGCAGCUAUUCUACUACAAGACGGUGAACAUUUUGUGGUUAUUUCAGUGCAAAUGAUUCCUUCCCUUCAAGAACAAGCCUCCCUUAUCAAGUGGAAAGCGUGUUAUCCAUCAUUCGGAACUCCUCAGUCAUUUUCUAUUGAAAACAACCUCGCAUGUAUGCCAGUACAUCGGAAGAAUUAGUUCGUAAAACUUUAGAUAAUAUUAUUAAUUAAAUGUAGUGUUUUGGCGUGCUUUUAUAUCUCAGUUUAAUUUGAUUGUCAGUGAAGUGUAUGAUU